GAACAACGCAAUAAUCAGUGACGUCACUUACAAAGAUACAACAAAUGGAGAAUUGGGAUUGUUAGAAAGAAGGAUCAACAAGACUUAUUUUUUGGAAGGAGGGAAUAAAAGAAGGAUGUAAUGUGACUUCUGCACUUCCAGCAUGGGAGAAUGGAUAGAUGAUAAUAUCAUUGUCUAACAGAGAAGGCAGAGAGGAAAAGUAGAUUUGGUGUUGACACUUUGGAUGUAUGGUGUUGUGGGACAAAGGAGACUGUUCAUUAAGCCAUUGGAAAUGUCUACAGUUUAGCCGGAGCCACUCACGUACGGGUCACCAGACUCUAGAUGAUUCUAAUCAUGUGAGCAGAUGGGAUGGCUCUGUGCUGUGAUGCAGAAUGGAAAGAAUGCUGAAGGCAGAGAAGGAUCAAGUUCCAGAAAAAAACAGAGAGGAAAAGAGGGAGCGAGACAGGGAGGAAAGAUAGGAAUGCACUUUGCAGGCUACGUCAGAAAUAGGUGCAGUUGCUCACGUCUGUAAUCCUAAGC
rnacentral:lncRNA from 10 species